rnacentral:rRNA from 1 species
AUUGAACGCUGGCGGCAUGCCUUACACAUGCAAGUCGAACGGCAGCACGGAGCUUGCUCUGGUGGCGAGUGGCGAACGGGUGAGUAAUAUAUCGGAACGUACCCUAGAGUGGGGGAUAACGUAGCGAAAGUUACGCUAAUACCGCAUACGAUCUAAGGAUGAAAGUGGGGGAUCGCAAGACCUCAUGCUCGUGGAGCGGCCGAUAUCUGAUUAGCUAGUUGGUAGGGUAAAAGCCUACCAAGGCAUCGAUCAGUAGCUGGUCUGAGAGGACGACCAGCCACACUGGAACUGAGACACGGUCCAGACUCCUACGGGAGGCAGCAGUGGGGAAUUUUGGACAAUGGGCGAAAGCCUGAUCCAGCAAUGCCGCGUGAGUGAAGAAGGCCUUCGGGUUGUAAAGCUCUUUUGUCAGGGAAGAAACGGUGAAAGCUAAUAUCUUUUGCUAAUGACGGUACCUGAAGAAUAAGCACCGGCUAACUACGUGCCAGCAGCCGCGGUAAUACGUAGGGUGCAAGCGUUAAUCGGAAUUACUGGGCGUAAAGCGUGCGCAGGCGGUUUUGUAAGUCUGAUGUGAAAUCCCCGGGCUCAACCUGGGAAUUGCAUUGGAGACUGCAAGGCUAGAAUCUGGCAGAGGGGGGUAGAAUUCCACGUGUAGCAGUGAAAUGCGUAGAUAUGUGGAGGAACACCGAUGGCGAAGGCAGCCCCCUGGGUCAAGAUUGACGCUCAUGCACGAAAGCGUGGGGAGCAAACAGGAUUAGAUACCCUGGUAGUCCACGCCCUAAACGAUGUCUACUAGUUGUCGGGUCUUAAUUGACUUGGUAACGCAGCUAACGCGUGAAGUAGACCGCCUGGGGAGUACGGUCGCAAGAUUAAAACUCAAAGGAAUUGACGGGGACCCGCACAAGCGGUGGAUGAUGUGGAUUAAUUCGAUGCAACGCGAAAAACCUUACCUACCCCUGACAUGGCUGGAAUCCUUGAGAGAUCAGGGAGUGCUCGAAAGAGAACCAGUACACAGGUGCUGCAUGGCUGUCGUCAGCUCGUGUCGUGAGAUGUUGGGUUAAGUCCCGCAACGAGCGCAACCCUUGUCAUUAGUUGCUACGAAAGGGCACUCUAAUGAGACUGCCGGUGACAAACCGGAGGAAGGUGGGGAUGACGUCAAGUCCUCAUGGCCCUUAUGGGUAGGGCUUCACACGUCAUACAAUGGUACAUACAGAGCGCCGCCAACCCGCGAGGGGGAGCUAAUCGCAGAAAGUGUAUCGUAGUCCGGAUUGUAGUCUGCAACUCGACUGCAUGAAGUUGGAAUCGCUAGUAAUCGCGGAUCAGCAUGUCGCGGUGAAUACGUUCCCGGGUCU